ensembl:lncRNA
ACUGUAUAUCCUGUAUACCGGGGUAGUUUGACAUGUUUAAUACCGGGUCCCUAAAGUUUGACGGUGCGUGCUACACCACUGCUUACAAAUAUAAGUUCAUUAUCUAAGAUGUGCUAAAUACAUGAUGUCCAGCUCAGGCUCCAGCUAUUCAUUGGGUUUGCUAACUUGCUAGCUAAGUGUCUAGCUUGCAAGACCAAGCUUCUUGGUUACAGCAAAGGCAACUAAUCCCCUCGUGGAUCAGUAUUAUUUGUACUUUCUUACGUUUGGAAAGAAAUAGCACCCUUUGUGUGCACUGCCGGUAAUACCUUAUACCCCAGUAUGGUACAGGAAAGGUAUGAAGGUAUGAAAAUCUGUAUACCGCUUGACUCUACAAAGCACAUUCAUGAGUGUACUCAUGGGACUUUCACACUUCACACACGUUACACACACACACACACGUUACACACACACACACACGAUGAGUCUUCCUUUCUGUUAUAUGUUCUCAUCAUGGCUGUGCUGUCCUCUCAUCACCCAGUUAGUCAGUCUGGUGAGGUCCAGUAGUCAGUCUGGUGAGGUCCAGUAGUCAGUCUGGUGAGGUCCAGUAGUCAGUCUGGUGAGGUCCAGUAGUCAGUCUGGUGAGGUCCAGUAGUCAGUCUGGUGAGGUCCAGUAGAGUCAGUCUGGUGAGGUCCAGUAAUCAGUCUAGUGAGGUCCAGUAAUCAGUCUGGUGAGGUCCAGUAGAGUCAGUCUGGUGAGGUCCAGUAGUCAGUCUGGUGAGGUCCAGUAGAGUCAGUCUGGUGAGGUCCAGUAGAGUCAGUCUGGUGAGGUCCAGUAAUCAGUCUGGUGAGGUCCAGUAAUCAGUCUGGUGAGGUCCAGUAGAGUCAGUCUGGUGAGGUCCAGUAAUCAGUCUGGUGAGGUCCAGUAGAGUCAGUCUGGUGAGGUCCAGUUAGUCAGUCUGGUGAGGUCCAGUAGAGUCAGUCUGGUGAGGUCCAGUAGAGUCGGUCUGGUGAGGUCCAGUAGAGUCAGUCUGGUGAGGUCCAGUAGAGUCAGUCUGGUGAGGUCCAGUUAGUCAGUCUGGUGAGGUCCAGUAGAGUCAGUCUGGUGAGGUUCAGUAGAGUCAGUCUGGUGAGGUCCAGUAGAGUCAGUCUGGUGAGGUCCAGUAGAGUCAGUCUGGUGAGGUCCAGUAGAGUCAGUCUGGUGAGGUCCAGUAGAGUCAGUCUGGUGAGGUCCAGUAGUCAGUCUGGUGAGAUCCAGUAAUCAGUCUGGUGAGGUCCAGUAGAGUCAGUCUGGUGAGGUCCAGUAGAGUCAGUCUGGUGAGGUCCAGUAGAGUCAGUCUGAUGAGGUCCAGUAGAGUCAGUCUGGUGAGGUCCAGUAAUCAGUCUGGUGAGGUCCAG